CAAAGGACAUUUAUUUUUACAUUAAUGUUUUGAUAUAUUUGAUUAUAUAUAUCAAUUGAAUGGUGACUCUUAUUUUUUAAAGAGCUGGCCAGUUUCAAUUGUGCUACCAAUUUCAAUGCUAUUGAAGUCGUUAGCCGGGUUUUGAGCGUCACUAAGCCAGCUCUGGUGCAUUAACUCCAGCUCCAACGAUCAACGUCAUGCUGGAAACUUUUCCGGCCAGCUCCAGCGGUCAACGUCGUGCCGGAGCUACGACAAUGCAGGUGCCGAUGGCCUACGAAGCUUCAGAUGAGGAACCCAAAACAAAACAGAGUAGAAACCAUGGGACAGCAGGCCGACAGCCAGACUUCGACGAUUCGUUGGCCUGCAAAAAAUUAGUAUGUUGCCGCCAGCGCAGCAGAGUCAGAAGAAGCAGAAAAUUUGUGCAGGAAGGGCAGACAUUUCCUUUGCAGCAUAUUGCUCUCAAAAGGUUCCAAUAGCAACACAAAUGGCACAGAAAAUGCCACAUCUGUUGAUGGUUUUCAAUCUGAAUGAAAACAGGAACUAUCAGCUCAAACCUGUUGAGCCAUCUAAGAACCGUCAUUUUAUAUCACCUUUUAGCUAUUUAGGAAAUGAGCCUUCGUGAAAGAUUGAAGAUUUAGCUUUGUGAAAUAUGUGAUGAAAUUUUCCUUUUUCUAAAUGUUCAGGUGGCAAAGUCAAAAGUAUUGGUUUGCUACCUACAUCUGGAUACACAUCAACUCUUCCACCUGUUCUGCUUGUAGUGUGAUGUUUUUUCCCUUUUUCUAUUAUUUGCUUUCUGACAGAGCAGGAUAACAGUGAAGGAAUUUAAUUUGCUAGUAAGAGGGAAAAUCUCUUUGAACUUAUCAUAUGUUUUGAUCAUGUUUAGAAUUUAUCAUAUGUUGUUGUCUAAUCUUUUAUGUCAUAAUCCUUGCAUUACUGGAAUGAACAGAACUUAUUCUUGGCUACAAUUUGGUUGCUGUUCUCCUAUAAGGGGCUUGUUUUAACCGAUAUAAGGAUUUAUUCAGCUUGCAACCUGUCGUCUUCUCCUAUCAGCCAUAUCAUUGUGGCAACAUCAUGUAUGCAUCUUCAGCAUUGUAAACAUCCAUUUUAUGUAAGCUCCAGCUGAGUUUCACUGCAAUGGUUAGUAAGCAUCUUAUUGUAACAAGCCCGGCAUGCAAGGGCAUAUGUUGCACUGUAGUCCACCUUCUCUACUUGAGCAUGACACUCAGCUAAUUAAAAAAUGUGCCUUAAUCUCUCAAUGAUCAGGUCCGGACUAUGGUUAGUUUGAUAAACUUACACCCAAUCGGCUUGACACCAGGUGGGCAUUGAGUAAGAGACACUACAACAAAACUCAUUGAUGCUGACGAUGGAUAGUCCGUCGAGCUAGGGGAAAAGAUUGCCGACGGACAACGUCGACCUCAAAAAAAGCCUGCAGGCGUAUCCAUCGCUGCAGAAAUCGCUCGAGAAGGAAAAACUUUCCGACGACAGCCAAGGUGGUCGGCAAAGGAGCCAGGGAAGGCGGUGAUUUUCCUGCAUCUCUCUCGACACUAGUGGUGAUCAGGAUAGGAUAAUUCAGAAAAAUAAAACUAUGGCAUAGGCGUACAACAACGGCACUAAUCAUGUUGAUCUCCAAAUAUCCACCCUUUCGGUAACGAACAUGGAGUGGCGGGAAACAUUGGUGGGUAGAUGGAAGGUCGUUAGGGUAACCUUCCACAGCCAGCGAAACCUGCCAUUUUGCAAGAUGAUAAAAGUUGUUUUCGGUAGAGCUGAAUAGGAACACAGAAGAUUUGGGGAUUAUUGCAUGUUUUCUUCUUCGUCUCUCUCUAUCGGGCAUCAAUAAUCGAUUUGUCGCUGGUGGAGAUUGUGGCAACGGUAUCAAAACUCUCUCUCCUUCUCUCCCUACCUCUCUUAUUUCGUUUUACUCUUAUUUCGUUUUUAUUAUCGAGGGGACUUUUUGUCCCCAAAUUUUACUUUUAGUUCCCAUUUUAUCAGCUCUUCCCCCCGUCUUUCUUUGUUAUGUUUAAGCGUCAGACAAUUUUUUCCUCAUAAAUGUCAGCCAUGUACCCUGUUGAUGAUAUGUUGAUGA